rnacentral:rRNA from 1 species
GACGUAGGGGGCAAGCGUUUGUUCGGAAUUAUUGGGCGUAAAGCGCUCGUAGGCGGGAUUGGAAGUCCGUGUUGAAAGACCUCGGCUCAACUGAGGGACCGGCUCGGAUACUCUAAUUCUUGAGGCAAUCAGAGGAUGAUGGAAUUCCCGGUGUAGCGGUGAAAUGCGUAGAUAUCAGGAGGAACACCGGUGGCGAAGGCGGGUCUCUGGGGAAACAACUGACGCUGAGGAACGAAAGCGUGGUAGCAAACAGG